CCCUCUGAAGCCCCAAUCUCUCUCACUCACUCAUUUUGUAGCCCUUAUCUCUUACUCAGUCUCUCGUUCGCUCUCUCUUUCUCUAAACCCUCUCAAUGGAUCAAUUCAUCUCUCGCUGAUUCAUCUCAAAAUGAUACAAUCUCGGUGAUUCAUCUUGGCGAUUUCGAUUCUGAUUUCGAAGUUCUCUCUGGAUUUUGAUUUCGAAAUUUAUGUUUCGAUUCAUCUUUGAGAUUCAAAGCGAUUUCGAUUUUGAAGCUCCACCGCCACCACCAUCUGCACCGGCUCGAUUUCUCUGAUUUCGAUUUCAUUUGAAUGUCUGAUUUCGAUUUCGAUUUCGAAACUCCACCGCCACCACCAUCUCCACCAGCGAGAUUUAAGUCUUUGCUUCAAGUCCGGAUGUGGGAGAGAGAGAGAGAGAGGAUGUGGAGGAGGAGGAGUUGAUUUGUGCCUGAACGCAUCCUUUUCUGAUCUGUUAUGUUGAAAAAGUUGAAAGAUCUCUGAAUAUACACUUGCCCAUUUACAAUCCCAUAUGUACAGUUACUUUCCUUUUUCUAGAUUCUCUUUAGCUUGAGUGGCCACGGAAGCUUUUCUGACGACCCUUUGUUGAACAGUGUUGCUGGACAUCUCCUGCAUUCGUCAAUUCUUGUGCCUUAUCAUGGAUGGAGAAUUAGCCAUAGAACUCACCAUCAGAAUCAUGGACAUGUUGAAAAUGAUGAAUCGUGGGUACCG